rnacentral:lncRNA from 1 species
ACACUCCAUAAGUCUCGGCACUGCUCAUCAGCCCAUGUGUCAGCACGCUCUUGCUGAUGGGAGCAGCGGGGAGAAACGCCAUACUGGGAAGUCACUGCUGGUGUGGGACAAGUUACAAGAUGCUUCUGGGGGAGGAAAAUGUGUAUCAUCAACUCCUCAGCUCUUGUUUAACUUCUAGAAAACUAGUGACAUGCUCUUGGAGAAGCCCCUCUUACAGAAGGCCAAAGAAGCUGAGAAAGCACAGAGGAAAUAAUCAAGGCUCACCUGGGAAAGCAACACAGCUUCACCAUCAUUCUCUCGUCCCUGAGAAAAUAAAUCAAAACAAACAAGUAUAUUGAGCACUGGGUGUUCAAAACCACAUGAAGAAUUGUUUUUUGUUAAAUUAAAGCCUUAAGUAGUCUUAAAUGAUGUAGCAAAAUAUGCCCAUUCAAUGUGGUUACUUACCUCCUCAGAUAUGAAAGGAUUUUAUAUGGCAGUAUUUUUAUAUUCUACGUUCUUACAAGUUUCACAUAUUCCAUUACUUAAGCGUUCAUAUUUCUCACAAAGACUUACAUUCCUCAGGAGUACAAUGUUUUAGAACAAAGAAUGCAUUCAAUAAAUCUUUACAGAGUUAAUCUUUACAGAGGACAAUUCUCCUGUAGACAGGAGUGAAUACAUAUAAAGGACAAAUAACGAGGCAAGGCCUUUGUACCUUUCAGCCAUCUGCAAAAUGAAGAACUGAAUUCAAAUUUUGAUAGGCAUGGCUUUCAGAGAAGUCUGACAGAAGCUAUGCAUGAAUUUCUUUUUUUCUCUUUUACAGUUCCCUUCUUACUUAAAAAAAAAAAAUCCUGAAGUGGCUUAGUGAUAUAAACUAUGGAGAGAGGUGUGGGUGGUUCUUUUAAGUGCACAAUAACCAACAGGUCUCCCUCCUGGAAAAAUUCUCAGAUGCUGAGGAAGAUAUUUCCUGUGGCCAAAAGAUUUUCUUCACUAGUUUUUGUCAAAAUGUCUUUUCGCAGUUUAAGUUCUCUGACGUUGACUG